rnacentral:rRNA from 1 species
AUGUUGUAGCUGCAGAAAACAAAUGACACCUUUGAAAUGAACAUUCCAGAGGAUUUCGAUAACCGACCCUCAAAAAAGAAAAAAAAUUCUGAAUCAGGUGUUUUGGAGCCAUCACCAAUGUCACCAACUAUGUCAGCAUCUAAUCCAGUUUCUGAAUGUUUUGAAUCAAUUGUGCCUGAAUCAGAUAACCAGAUAGAUCAUGAUCCAUUGCCAUCACCUCCAUCACCGUCUAGCUCGACAUUAACUCCUGUUUUAAUAUUACAUGAUGUCAAGGAACCAGAUCCAAAUAAAGGGAUCAAAGUUGAUGAGACAUAUGAUUAUCUCCCACAAGACUAUACAUUGACCGACCAUGAUCUAUGUGCUCAUAAAGCAAUAGGAUCAUCUUUAAGAAAACAAUUGCUCGUUCAGAUAGAUGGAAGUUGUGUCUUGCAAAAUCAAUUGAUGUGCCUGCUAAAUGAAAAUGAGUGGGUAAAUGAUGAUGUGAUCAAUGCAUAUAUAUGUUGUAUAAAGGACCAAAUACAUCUCUAGAAUGAUAAUAAAGUAUAUUUCGAGAGUCCAUUUGUUACCUCACUAUUUAAACGAGAUGGCGAACUUGGUAUUCAAAAAGAUAGUGCCUUCAUGACAGAGACCGUCAUCGAAUAUAUGCAACAUGACAUGCAACACACAUUGGUAGUUAGCUGUUGUGAAUACAAAAAACGUGAGGUUCAAGUACUGGACUAAUUGUGCUGGAACUUUGACCGUGACGAUCUCGCUGAUACGCUACGGGGAGUACAAUUUCAUUUGGACCUUCUUAAAAGUCAAAACUUGGUGAAAGACAAUUGGAAAGACGUUGAUCUCACUGAAUGGAGGAUCACAGAACAAUUACUAAAGGCAAUUGAAAAAGACAGAUCUUCAUGUGGUUUGUUUAUGGUCAAAUUUAUGUAA